rnacentral:rRNA from 1 species
UACGUAGGUGGCAAGCGAUACUCGGAAUCACUAGGCGUAAAGCGCAGGUAGGCGGUUUGGUAAGUCUUUUGUGAAAGCUCCCGGCUUAACUGGGAGAGGUCAAGGGAAACUACCGGACUAGAGUGUGGUAGGGGAUACUGGAAUUCCUGGUGUAGCGGUGAAGUGCGUAGAUAUCAGGAGGAAUACCUAUGGCGAAAGCAGUGUCCUGGCGCGUAUCUGACGCUGAGGUGCGAAAGCCAGGGGAGCGAACGGG